ACCUCCCAGCGUCCCAGCCCUGGGACACGCAUGUGACAGUGGUUGUGCGAGCCAGCUGUAGGCUCCCCUUCGUCACUUCAGCAGCAGCGACAGCUCGUCUUGGUCACGGCCCACGCGGGAGGGCUCGUCUCCAGUCUGUGGGCUCUGCAGCUGCCUCUCCUCGCGCCCCUCGGUGCCCUGUAGGUGUUACUUCAAACAGAAGAUGGACGCUCCAUGCCAUCCUGCGUGAAGCCUCUGGACAGUCACCGCGCCCCCUCCCACGGGGGCGUCCCCCUGCCCUGCCUUCCCGCCAGAGCGGAGGAAGCGUUUUCUCCCUGGCGAGAGGAGUCGCCUCAGCCCUGUUUCCAAAAGGCCCAUCGAACUUCCUUCAGCUUGUUUACCUUAAAUACACGUGUCCUUUUCAAUGACAUCCUUGAAACUUUGGAAGCGGGUUUUCUAUUUUUUCCAUUUCCAUUGUGUUUGAGCAUCUGCCUCCCUGAACCACAUUGUGUUCUGUGAGGUGACGUCACGUCCCGUGUGAGAGGCACAUCCAGUGGAACAAUGAAGAGCUCCAGCGAGUGCUUCGGUGCGGUGACAUCACUUGGCGAGUCAGAGUUUGCUUGCAGUCUGUAGAUAAUGAGUGUCCUACAGCUUUGAGCCCUCCGCGGUGAGUCACGGAGCCCUCCCUUUCUCUCUCACGUGUCACGCUGGGUUUACACUGACGAUGGAGAGCACAGCUCGCUCCCCUUGGGGGGUCAGAGCCAACGGAGGCUCCACUUUAAUCAGACGCCGUUUCACGCGUUUGAACCUGCUCUGUCGAGGGAGCACUUCGGAGGCAUCAGAUACACCCGCUUCCUCCUCAUCCACGGACCCUGGUGAAGCCAGUCCCCGGCUGGGGUGAGCGGCUCCCCGGCCAGCCCGAGCGUCUCGGGUUGAAGCUGUCCCUUGGCCCUCUCCACCGCAGGCGAGGGGGCGCGGGGCAAAGCCGGUCCGGUUUCUGCUGCUUCCCCCCGAGUGGCCAGCCGGUGGGAAGCCCUCCCGACUGACUCCCUGUCGGUGGAACUGCUGAUGGCUGCGCCUUCCCCUGAAGCAGAGCCGUUCGGUUCGGCCCUGCGAAUCCAUGAAACUCAGUGUGACAGAUCGUGGUUUCAGAGGAGGCAGAGGCCAACACCACUGCUGUGGGUGAGAGAGAGGCCAGCACCGCGCUCGCUCCCCGAGGCACCAGGCUUGUCUGCAGGAGGCGGUGCUCCGCGGCUGAGCCAGGGCCCUGCUGGGCUGGGGGGCUCGCCAGGGGAGAGGAGGCCGGAAGUCUCAGCCCAAAGAGGGAUUCAGGUUAAAUCUGCUUGGGGCUGAUCAAGGCUGGGCAGGAAGCGGCUCUUGGGGCCCGGCCAGGGCUCCUGGAAUCCCAGUUAAGUCUGAGAGCGAAGCUCGUGUCUUCUUUCAGUGGGCAGAGGACCCUGCCUUCAAACAAAAGUUGGUCCAGGUUGCAGGGCCUUUGAUGUUAAUUCGAUCCUGAAGUGUUUCUCUCUCUCUCUCUUCUUUUUUGUUUUUUAACUUUAUAGUUGUAUUGUUUUUCCUUUUUUAUUAAAGUCCAGUCAGUUUACAACGUGGUGUCCAUUCCUGUUUCAGGCGUACAUGUACACACACUUCAUUUUCAGUGUCUUGUGGUGACCUCUAACGAAAGGAAUAUGAACGUGAAGUCGGCGUCAAGUUCUUAAGUGAGGUCUUUGUUUCAAGUCUCUCGUUUGUGUCGCUGAUGUUUCUCACACACGUGUCACGAUGACUUUAUCUUCUGUGUGUCCACAUGACCGUGUAGUCGGCAGUCAAGUCCUUCCUUACUUAGGUUGAGAAAUGGCUCGUUUCCCUGCGUCCUUUUUGAGAGCAAAGACCCAGGUGAUGUAGAAACUCAGUGCAAGGGGAAUGGACCCCUGAAAGCCCCCGGGACGCCGGGAGCGCCAGUCCCGCCCUGACCGUGGCUUGGCACGAGUCUGGUGGGAGGCUUUGCCCUGAAAGCCACGCCGCUCCGGAGUAGGACUUACCGUAAACAAACGUAUUUCGAAGCACCUUUGGGGUUGUUCUCCUAACCGUUGCUGAAAAAUUGCUCUUUAACGAGAACCUCAAAGUGCGAUCUCAGCUCCAGCGAAGGAGGGUCCUGUCCAGCCGGCUCUGGGAGCAAUCCCCGCCCCCUCUCAGGGCAGGGCCCGGCUUUCCUGCAGUGUGGACGACGGGUUGAGCCUGGCUGGCCCCCUUCCCGGGCCGCCUCUGAUUUCGUGGGGCAUCUUUGGGACAGACCUGCGUGGGUGCAUGCCCUGUUCCUUUCCCCCUGAGGCUCAGACGUCGGCCUGGGUGACGUCUGCGUUCACAUUUAUAGCAGCGGUAAGAAACAAAAACAACUGAAAGACUCCAAAUAUUGCCUCUAGGAUGGUCACAGAGUGCCCGCCACGUGGUCAGGGGUGUGCCUGCCGUCCGGGAAGGGCACGGGCUCGUUCAGAGAUGCGCAGGUUCCCCUGACCCCACAUGCCCGGAGCUGGGCCGGUGCCUCUUCCGUCUGGCCAGGUCAAGCCCGCGCUCCUGCAGCCUCUGGCCCCGGGUCGGCUGCACGUUCACUAUCUUAUUUCAUCUUCAACAAUAGCGUCUGAAAGUAUUUCCUGAUCUUCUGGGGGAAGAAGCGGAUGGUCAGAGUGAUUAACUGAUUGGUGCACAGACCAGCCAGUUAGAGGCAGGGCUAGUGGACCCAGGACUUGCUCUCAUCUGCUGCCCUCUCCCCGGCGUCACAGCUGGGUCAUCCCAACUUCCUGCCGGACGUGAGUGUCAGUUGCUGGCCCUGCCUGGCCAAGAGUCCCACCAGCCAAUCCAUCACGCCCCCUCCAGAGCCCGGGGCCUCCCAGAGCGCGGUGCGUGCUCAUCACUCAUCUCCUUUUUACUGUUGGCUCCAGCCUUAGCCAUCUGAAUACAAGUUCCUUAAGAACAGUUCCUGGGAAAUCUGUCCAUUUCAAUGGAAUGGUGGCCAAGACUCGUUUUUGGCCUCCCUGUGGUGACAGGUGUGCAGCUGGACAGACCCUGGCCUCAGCCUCCCCUGGUGGUAGGAGUGGCCAUGUUUGUGCUACCUUGGGGUCUGUGACUUAAGGUCCCUGAGGGGGUUCGUGUCUCCCCUCGCAUGAGACGGGAUAGAGAGGCUUCCUGCCCCUGGACUCGACUCUGCAGGGGAUGGCGGAGAAUUCAGAUGGAGGAACCCAAGGCUCGGAAGGGUGUCCUGGAGCAGAGCUACCUGCAGCCUGGAAAGCUCACCUGGGAGAUGAGAGAAACAGCCUCACCUGUUUUAAUCCACCAGCUUGUCAUCAGGUAAAAGUUGGAGUUGGAGGGCGGACACCAGAAAGGUGGCAGUGAAGAAUCUACACCUUGCUUUUAAGAAUAAGCCAAGCCACCGAGGACUUGCUCCGAGCCGGGUGCGGCUCUGAGCAUUUUCUCUGUGUCAGCCCGUCCGACCUUGCUCAAGCCCUGGGCAGUGGCUGUCACGGUCUCUGUUCAUUUGGGGAAACUGAGGCUCAGAGAGGUUAAGUUGCUCAACAUUGGGAGCAGGGGUGGAGUUUGACUUCAGAGCAUCUUUGUUUCCUUUCCAAACGGCCUGGUGGCUGUGUGUGCCACAUGGGUGUGCCUGUGUGCACAUGCUUGCACACGCGUGGGCUGUUUUUGGCAGGCGUGCAUUUGCUGGCAGAACUCCAGUCCCAAUUUCACUGGCUCUCCCGUCCCCAGGGACCAUUUGUCCUCUGACACCGGCGCUUCAUUUUUCACUCGCCAUUUCUUAUCGGCCCGCAGUCCUUGGAAAGCUAUUUCCUCUGGAAGAUGGAUGUGAACAGUGCUUUUUGGUAAAGAGAAUGUGGUUUCCACAGGCCUGAAGGCUGAGUGUUUCCAGCAGACGUGGAGACGCUGUGAUUGGAGCCCCGGUCCUGCUCCGUGUCUGCUCUGCAGAGGCCUCGACUUCCUGGCCGAGGGCAGGUUCAGUUUGUGUUACCAUGUGCGUGGUCAAGCAGACGUCUUCCUGCCGGAGACGUUCAAGGCUUGACCUCGCUUCACUGCAAGGAAUCAUCUUUUUUUCAAAUCAUCGGAAGUUCAUCCGUGUUUAUAGCAAAACCUCAUCAAGUCCGACUGCUCCACGUCACACAUCCUAGUGCAGCUGUAAUUAAGUUUGAAAAGCACGUGAAGAAUCAUUUGCUUAAAAUGGAUAACACACCCAGGGCUUGGGGCGACACAGCACAUUAAAGACAUGUUUCUGUGUUCAGUUAUUCUUACAUGCAAAUCAGCACGUUCACUGCAAAACAGACUCGGUUGUUCACGAACAUCUUCCAGCGUCUUAACAGUUCGGAUCCCUGGAUGUGCAAUUCCUCGGAGGGUCUGGCAGUAAAGCACGUUAAAGUUUAUU